rnacentral:rRNA from 1 species
CCUACGGGUGGCAGCAGUGGGGAAUAUUGCACAAUGGGGGAAACCCUGAUGCAGCGACGCCGCGUGAGUGAAGAAGUAUUUCGGUAUGUAAAGCUCUAUCAGCAGGGAAGAAAAUGACGGUACCUGACUAAUAAGCCGCGGCUAACUACGUGCCAGCAGCCGCGGUAAUACGUAGGGGGCAGGCGUUAUCCGGAUGUACGGGUUGGAAAGGGAGCGUAGACGGCAGAGCAAGUCCGGAGGGAAAGCCCAUGGCAGAACCAUGGGACGGCUUUGGAAACUGUGUAGCUGGAGGGCGGGAGAGGGAAGGGGAAUUCCUAGGGUAGGGGGGAAAGGCGUAGAUAUGAGGAGGAACACCAGUGGCGAAGGGGGUUCAAUGGACUGUAACGGACGUUGAGGCUCGAAAGGGUGGGGAGCAAACAGGAUUAGAUACCCGAGGAGUC